rnacentral:rRNA from 1 species
UACAGAGGGUGCGAGCGUUAAUCGGAAUUACUGGGCGUAAAGCGUGCGUAGACGGCUAUCUAAGUCGGGUGUGAAAGCCCCGGGCUCAACCUGGGAAUUGCAUUCGAGACUGAAUAGCUAGGGUACGGUAGAGGGAAGCGGAAUUUCCGGUGUAGCGGUGAAAUGCGUAGAUAUCGGAAGGAACAUCAGUCGGCGGAAAGCGGACUUCCUGGACCAGUUAC